UACAGAGGUCUCAAGCGUUGUUCGGAUUCAUUGGGCGUAAAGGGUGCGCAGGCGGCUUCGCAAGUCAGGCGUGAAAUCCCCGAGCUUAACUUGGGAAUUGCGUUUGAAACUACGAGGCUGGAGUGUGGCAGAGGGAGGUGGAAUUCCACGUGUAGCGGUGAAAUGCGUAGAUAUGUGGAGGAACACCGAUGGCGAAGGCAGCCUCCUGGGCCAACACUGACGCUCAUGCACGAAAGCGUGGGGAGCAAACAGG
rnacentral:rRNA from 1 species